AGAGUUUGAUCCUGGCUCAGGACGAACGCUGGCGGCACGCUUAACACAUGCAAGUCGAACGAGAGAAGAGGAGCUUGCUUUUCUGAUCUAGUGGCGGACGGGUGAGUAACACGUGAGCAAUCUGCCUUUCAGAGGGGGAUACCGAUUGGAAACGAUCGUUAAUACCGCAUAACAUAAUUGAACCGCAUGAUUUGAUUAUCAAAGAUUUAUCGCUGAAAGAUGAGCUCGCGUCUGAUUAGCUAGUUGGUAAGGUAACGGCUUACCAAGGCGACGAUCAGUAGCCGGACUGAGAGGUUGAUCGGCCACAUUGGGACUGAGACACGGCCCAGACUCCUACGGGAGGCAGCAGUGGGGAAUAUUGCACAAUGGAGGAAACUCUGAUGCAGCGAUGCCGCGUGAGGGAAGAAGGUUUUAAGAUUGUAAACCUCUGUCUUCAGGGACGAAAAAAGACGGUACCUGAGGAGGAAGCUCCGGCUAACUACGUGCCAGCAGCCGCGGUAAUACGUAGGGAGCGAGCGUUGUCCGGAAUUACUGGGUGUAAAGGGAGCGUAGGCGGGAUCGCAAGUCAGAUGUGAAAACUAUGGGCUUAACCCAUAAACUGCAUUUGAAACUGUGGUUCUUGAGUGAAGUAGAGGUAAGCGGAAUUCCUAGUGUAGCGGUGAAAUGCGUAGAUAUUAGGAGGAACAUCAGUGGCGAAGGCGGCUUACUGGGCUUUAACUGACGCUGAGGCUCGAAAGCGUGGGGAGUAAACAGGAUUAGAUACCCUGGUAGUCCACGCCGUAAACGAUGAUUACUAGGUGUGGGGGGACUGACCCCUUCCGUGCCGCAGCAAACGCAAUAAGUAAUCCACCUGGGGAGUACGACCGCAAGGUUGAAACUCAAAGGAAUCGACGGGGGCCCGCACAAGCAGUGGAGUAUGUGGAUUAAUUCGAAGCAACGCGAAGAACCUUACCAGGUCUUGACAUCGUAUGCAUAGCUCAGAGAUGAGUGAAAUCUCUUCGGAGACAUAUAGACAGGUGGUGCAUGGUUGUCGUCAGCUCGUGUCGUGAGAUGUUGGGUUAAGUCCCGCAACGAGCGCAACCCUUACUGUUAGUUGCUACGCAAGAGCACUCUAGCAGGACUGCCGUUGACAAAACGGAGGAAGGUGGGGAUGACGUCAAAUCAUCAUGCCCCUUAUGACCUGGGCCUCACACGUACUACAAUGGCUGUCAACAGAGGGAAGCAAAGCCGCGAGGUGGAGCGAACCCCUAAAAGCAGUCUUAGUUCGGAUUGUAGGCUGCGACCCGCCUACAUGAAGUCGGAAUUGCUAGUAAUCGCAGAUCAGCAUGCUGCGGUGAAUACGUUCCCGGGCCUUGUACACACCGCCCGUCACGCCAUGGGAGUCGGUAACACCCGAAGCCUGUAGUCUAACCGCAAGGAGGACGCAGUCGAAGGUGGGAUUGAUGACUGGGGUGAAGUCGGAACAAGGUA
rnacentral:rRNA from 1 species